rnacentral:rRNA from 1 species
AUGAAUCUAUUCACCUUUGUUGGAGUCGAGGCCUUCUUCCAAUUAGUUCUGAACUUCUGGAACCAAUGCAUUGCCACUUGUGCAAAAAAAAUCUGGGAAAUAACUCCUCUUUCAUCAGUUCUGAAAUCGCACAAUUUGGAACUGAGUAACAAUCAUAUUUUUUUUCAUGGCAAGCUGUAUGUGCCAAUUGACCGUGAGCUAAAGGUAAACUAUUCAGACCAGAUGAGAUUUCAAAUUUGUUGCAUUACUCGAAAUGGUUUGGAAAUCUUUCAGUUUCAGACAUGCAAGCAUCGAAACAAGUCGCACAAGCUUGUCAAUCCAUUGCUCCAUGAUCAUAAGAAUUAUUUGGUGACAUCAUCUUUCUAG